AUGAACGCUAGCGGCGUGCCUAAUACAUGCAAGUCGAGCGAACGGACGAGAAGCUUGCUUCUCUGAUGUUAGCGGCGGACGGGUGAGUAACACGUGGAUAACCUACCUAUAAGACUGGGAUAACUUCGGGAAACCGGAGCUAAUACCGGAUGAUAUUUUGAACCGCAUUGUUCAAAAGUGAAAGACGGUCUUGCUGUCACUUAUAGAUGGAUCCGCGCUGCAUUAGCUAGUUGGUAAGGUAACGGCUUACCAAGGCAACGAUGCAUAGCCGACCUGAGAGGGUGAUCGGCCACACUGGAACUGAGACACGGUCCAGACUCCUACGGGAGGCAGCAGUAGGGAAUCUUCCGCAAUGGGCGAAAGCCUGACGGAGCAACGCCGCGUGAGUGAUGAAGGUCUUCGGAUCGUAAAACUCUGUUAUUAGGGAAGAACAUAUGUGUAAGUAACUGUGCACAUCUUGACGGUACCUAAUCAGAAAGCCACGGCUAACUACGUG
rnacentral:rRNA from 1 species